CCCGCGCCUGGAAUAGUGUGCUUAUACAGUGUCACUAAGUAAAUGUGCGUUGGCAGGUAGACUGAAGAGCUAGUGCAGAGCUAAGUUUGCUGUUUUGUGGGAAAUCAAAGGAGAAGUACCCUCUGGUUGGAAAACACCCCAGGAGAGGCAGCUUCAAGGAGCUGGCAUGUGGAUGAAAAUGUUUAGCAUGAGCAAGCUUUAUCCUGGUCAGGGGCAGGCAGUGGGCAUUCCAGGCAGAGGGAGUGGCCCUGGAAAAAGGGAGAAGGGCUCAAUGGACAUGGCUUGUUUCUGCUUCUCAUGGCAACAGAUAUAGUCAUGAGAUUGGAGCUGGAGGACGCGUUUCCAAGGUGACUCGAUCUCCUAGCUGCUUAUAAAGUUGAUUCACUGACUGCUGGUUUGAAAUGGUGUCUGCUAACAGUUCCUGGUACAGCUUCUCUGUAUGUGACGUAAAAUACCUAUAAAGGCUUAGAAGAAGAUGUAAACUCAAAACACAGCCAUAAACUUGGACUGACAAUCCCCUGAAGACUGGAUCUGGGAGGACUUUUUGCCAACAGUAAUGCCAAUGAAACUGAAAAGAAGAGAACAUUCUAUGGAUGUGGGUGUGUUACUGAGGAAAUGCUCUGUUAGCAAGAGGUAGGAAGGACUAUUAUUUUUGUUGUGCAUCUCCUGGAUGGGGAUCCCCUGGACGGUGUGUCCCCUCAAUUGUGAAUACCUGAAUAGAUUCUCUGAUGAAAAUUGAUGACCACCAAGAACUUUAGCAUGUGCCUUUUUUUUUUUUCCCCCACAUAGCUUAUCUGUAGAUACAAUGGAUUAAAGUUCAAAAUGAGACCAUACUGGGUAGGCUGGAUCCUGAAUCUAAUGAAAGCAUCUUUAUAACGGACAGAAACACACAUGCAGUAACUCACAGAGAGAAUAUGUUUCAGGCCACAUGAAGACAGGGGCAGAAAUUGGAAUGGUGGGACCACAAGCCAAAGAACACCAGAAGCCAACAGAAGCUCAAAGAGGCAAGGAAGGACUCUGUCGUUGAGACCUCAGAGAGAGCAUGCCUCUGCUGACACUUGGACCUCCAGUCCAAAAUGGUGACCAACUCUCCUUAGUGAUCUCCAUAAUCAUUGGUCGUUCUUCUUCUUCACCUCACUUCAAUUUCCGUGUCCCGCUCAUCAUGGUGCGUAUUAAAAUGACUCUCACUAGCAUAUCUCCACCAGAACCAACUCUAAAGGAAUGAGGUUUACACAGCAAUGUUUUUCCAAUUUUUGCAGUUUAUCAUUCAGAAUCAACUCAACUUAUUUUGAGAAAGGAUUGAGUCUUUAUUAUGUCUCACUGUCAAUAAAGCCUUCCAUAGUAUCUUCGUGAGUAAGCAGCAGAAUCUCAUAAAAUUCAUAUCCUAUAGAUGGACAUUGGGCCACAGGAUGGGGCAGACACAAUAAGGGAUUAAAUACCUGGUGGCAUCUUGCUUAUGGACUGUGGGAAUUAGGGAUGGGACUGUGUGUUCCCAGGUUUUCAAAUGCUGGGAGGAUUGGUAGAGGCAGGAAAAGUAGCAAAGGAGCAGAGUGGCUCCAGAAAGCCAUCAGGACAACUUUGAACUGCACAGAAAGCAAUUCUAUGUCUCACCAGUGGCAAUAACUUUGAGAGUUUUAGGAGGCUUGGGUAAGGUGUAAAGCUCUUGAAACUGUCCUACUUUAUUAUUAUAGAAAACAGUGUUAGUCACAGUGUGUGUGUGUAUCCAGCAUGCUUUCCAACACUUUUUCUUCUGAUUCCUUUGGGGAAUCCCUCCCUCCAUCCAUGCAGUCUUGGUAGAGGAUAGAAAUUAAUUGCCCUUACACCUAGCUCAACAAAGGGUAUGUGACCUUAACUGGGCAGGGCACGCCAUCCAUCUAGGUAGAGUGAUUGGCUUACAGGUGUUCAUAUACAACCCAUGCAGGCUUAGUCAGUGUCUUUCCUGGAAUUAAUAUGUGAACUUUGGCAGUAAGACUCUUUUUCCAUUGACAUUGAAGAACAAGGAAGAAGUGGGUUUAGAUAUGCAGGCAGGCUUCUGAGGGAAAUCUUUUAGUAGAUGAAACCAAGCAGGGUUGAGACAUGAAGAGAAAGAUAUACUCUAGGACCUACCCAUUCCUGAGCUUCCUAGUCAUAUGAGCCAAAAAAUUCUCUUUUCACUUCAACCAGUCUGAGUCAGGUAUCUGAUACCACUUGUAACUUAAAGCCAAUCAAGUCUUGAAAAGGGAGGAAAAGAGAGAUGUACAGCCAAAGGAAUGAAAUAUUUGGCAAGAAAAUAGAAAUCACCUGCUUGUGAAUUAACCUACUCUAAUUUUUCUUUUGUGAACUUUGUGCCUGCAAUGUCUUACAAAAGCCCUAAUUAUUUUGGGGCAAGUGUCACAAUUAUUAGCAUCAAGCUCUCUAUCUAACAUGUAACAAAGUCCAUUCUGUGGUACCAUGCAGGGCUUUCCACUUUUAACCCUGUUAAUAAAAUGUGAAAGAGAUUUGAGAGAAAGAAGACUGAGAAGCAAUGCGAUACCAUGUAAACAAUAGUGGAUUUUAAAUUAGGGCCUGAGAUUGGAAUAAACAUUUUGACACCCCCCUUGGGAGUAUUUGCUUUGUUGCCCUGAGCUUUAGUUGCUUUAACAUGGAAAAGGAAUGAGAAUAAUGAUAAUCCUUACUACACAUGGUUUUCAUGUGAAUUAUCCAAUAUACUGUAAAUAAUGUAGAGUGGCCAGCACUGAAACCACCUUUGCAAAAUUAUAACUGAGGAAAUUACGACAGUGAAAGAAGUCAGACCUCGCUGACUCUAUCUUGCCUCUACCCUUAAGUUGUCCUUUUAUAUUCCUACCUGUAGGGCCGAACUAACUUUGGGAAGGAAUUCAGUUCAUGGUUUGACUCUGAAACAAAAUUGAUAACAGCCCUUUCCCAAAAAGAUCCCCCUUCUUGCCUGCGGUCCAAUCUGCCUUUUCAGGACUAACAAAUUAGCUACAAGAUCAGAAAUUACAAUUUAGGGGUCAUGCAGCCUCUGGUUCCAAGAGUCUGAACCUUCCCAAAUUGCUCUCAGGGAUAACAUCACUGUUGUAAAACCGAAGAUCAGUUCUUGAGAUGUUUUGCAGACGCUGCAGUUGACGGAUCAGCUGACACCACCCGGGCUAGUAAUCUGGCUCAACCAGUUCUGCCGUCCCACCCAGGAACAAAAGACAGCAAGAAAACCUAACUUCGACGCCCGCCCUGUGAUUCCAUCUCCAACCUGACCAAUCAGCACUCCCCACUUCGUGAGCCCCUACUUGCCAAGUUAUGAUUUAAAACUAUGAUUCUCGAAUGCUCGGUGAGACUGAUUUCAGUAAUAAUAAAACUCUGAUCUCCCGCA